CGGACGGGUGAGUAACGCGUGGGGAACCUGCCCUGUACAGGGGGAUAACACUUAGAAAUAGGUGCUAAUACCGCAUAAGCGCACAGUAUCGCAUGAUACAGUGUGAAAAACUCCGGUGGUACAGGAUGGACCCGCGUCUGAUUAGCUGGUUGGCGGGGUAAAGGCCCACCAAGGCGACGAUCAGUAGCCGGCCUGAGAGGGUGGACGGCCACAUUGGGACUGAGACACGGCCCAAACUCCUACGGAAGGCAGCAG
rnacentral:rRNA from 1 species